UCCAAACUCCCUUUAAAAGUUGAUGUGCCAUUUUGCAUCACACGGCAAUGACUGAGAGCUCCCGUGGUUCUGCAUCCUCUCCAGCAUUCGGUGUUGUCCCUGUUUUGGAUUUUCACUGUUCUAAGAGAGCCACUCCUGAGACGACAGUUCUGAAAACACACUAUUGGCAAAAGAUUCCAGUGGAAAUCAUGGUAGAUAAUAAAGAGAGAGGAAACCCACAUUUGCUUCUCAACCAACGAGUUACAAACAUCAGUGGAAAUGUAAGCU